ACAUCUCUGGUGCAGCAAUUAAUAAAGUUAGUGAGGAGACCCAGAGAGAGAGAAAGCGCGCACGCGGUUACUGUGUGUGCAGGAUGGUUUUUAGUCACCAGUGCAAAAGUUUUAAAGUGAAAGAAAAUGUGUCAGGUCAUAUAUUGAUGCAGAUGUGCGUCUCACAAAGGCUGGCUGAAAAGAAAAAGAAAAGACAUGCAAAGUUUGCGCCUGUCCGCCAGUGAAGUGAGUUUUCAGUGAAGACUUUCUGAUGAAGAGGAGGAUGAAGACAGACAAACUGCACUUUUUCCUUGCCGAAAACUGAGCUUUCCAAAAAUGAUCCCCAGAGUGGACAGUGGUGGACAAAGUACUCAGAUCCUUUACUUACUGGCCAAGGCGCAGGACUGAGAAAUAUUUUCACCACAGGACCUUCAGGCUGGUUUCCACCACAUCCACCCAUCCUAACAACUCAUGGGGAAACCACCUCAGCAAAGCUCAUCCGUUGAAAUGUUGCUGAGUCAGUUUGGGGUCAUGACAUCAUCAUCAUGAGAUGGAGGAGCUGGCGAGCAGUGACCACAGGCAGCGACAGAAGAGGGUGGUGCCUGUGUGUUGUGGUUUGUAGCUGCUGCUUCUUGGCAAACAAAUUGUGCUGUGGAGUUGCCUCAGGGAAUAAUUUGCUCAAAUGUUGAAAGGAAGAACAAAUUCAAAAGGUUUAAAAAGGCAGUAAGUAAGAUUUUUAUUGUCGCAUUGCACCAAAUGACUAUAAAACACCUGCAGGAGGCUGAUAGUGUUGUUAAUUGUCCAGGUGCUGAGGUUUCUUGGCUUUCCAAACUGUCUUUCCGGCUUGUGGGUUGUUACGGAGCAAAAUCUCCACACCCAGUGAAGUCAUGCUGAUGGUGAACACAGUAACAAACAAGUAAAAGAUUACUAGCCCUGAGCAUUUUUUUAUUUACCAGUGGUGCAAACUUCUCACGUUACAGAGAAAAAUUUGAAUCCAGAACAGGUCAUUUGUGUGAUUCAGGUAGAUCCGAUGAGUUUUUGAAAUGCGUCUAGGUCUACAAGGACAGAGUCACGGUGAGUUAAAAGGGAACCACGCCUUUUGAGUUGUCAAAAAGCAAAGAGAAACUAAAGCUCCUGGUUACUGUGUUAACAUUAGCCACUGGUGGUUCCAUUUUCUUUAUGCUAAGAUAAUAUUAGCAAGGCUAAUGCUGUCAUAACCACAACAUAAUUAAACAAUUUGUUUUUGGAUUUGUUUUGGAGCAUGAGGCUAAUUCGAUACUAAUACGAUACUACAGUGUAGACGUUACCUAGCUAAAAUGGACCUGUGUUACCUAUAAUGAAGGUUAGUUAUAAAGAAUGUUUGUUAAUGUAGCCUAAUUAUAUUGCUUAUUGCUAUUUGUGAGUAUAAAUACUGAAACAAUACUUUUUAAAACCAUGAACUGUUCUAUAAUACUAUUUUGAGUAAUUAUCACUAAAGAUGAAUAAGUUUUUAUGGGCAGCAGUGUCUUUUUUUUAUUAGUAAUUAGGCUUCCUGGCAGCUUUAUACUUUAAGACAAAAUGAUUAGACAGACGUAUAACUGAGCUUGUGCUGAAAAAAUUAUACCAUGCACUUGGAGUAAUACCAAUUUAAAAAGGUGCUGUACAAACUCAAAAUUUAAUGCAUAAAGUAGUUAGUGGAUUUACAUGCUAUUUUAUCCAAAAAUGAUUAAACAAAAAUGGACUCCCUGUAGUUUAUGAAGUUAAUUUAACAACACAGCUAAUGACAGCUGAUCUGAACUGUGUGUGCUUACAGGUGUUGGUUCCUCUGUUAAUGUGAGAGGUUUAAAGCUCAUCAUUACUCAGAAGUUUGAAAUUUAGGCAGGUAAAUUUUCUGACCCCAUAAUUCCACAUUAAACUUUAAAUAGCACUACAAUUUCCAAAACACAAGUAAAGAAUGAAUGACUGAAUGAAUUUGCUGCAUCUUUCCAGUAUCUUAUUAAUCGAAAUAAAUAAAUCAGCUUUAUUACAUUAACAUACAAUUUGGUUAAAUCCAGCUCUGGUUGUGGUAUUAUAAUGAAAGGUCAUGAAAUGCACUCACCACAUAAAUUGCUCUCACUCUAGUAAGAACAAGUGCAUAUUGUGUACAGUCUAACAAUGCUUCUGUGACAACACAUCAACUGACUGACCUCAAGGACUUUUAGUGCACUUUAGCAAGUCCGUAGAAUUAAAACACUGCUUACUUUACAGCCAUUAUUUGCUUAUAAAAAAGAUUUAGCACAUGACUAACCUUUUUUUAGUAAAUGAUAUAUAAUCAAUAUUUUCUGUGUUUGGCAGCAGUUUAUGUCAACUAGUUGAUGGAAAAACUGCAUUAAACUUUGUUUUCAAAUAUUUAAGUAAAUUGAGAAAAUUUACCUCGAACCCCAACAAAAAAUUAGUAAGCUGAUUUUAUUUAAACAACUAUGACCAGAUUUCAUGGAUGAUCAAAAAGCUGUUGAUCAUUAAGCUUCUGGGGAAGUGUUCCAGCUGAGUAACACUGGACUGUUUUGAAACUAAUACCAGGUUGUCAUUUAUGGGUUGAGUGAGUUUCAUGACCCUGUCAUGGCUGUAAAGCUACAUUGUUAAAUUUCAAAAUGUGGUUAUCAGUGAGAACUUGCAUCAUUCUUGUGAGAUUUACUUUUCCCAAAAUACAUUUUUAUGUUCCAGCAAUAGUGAUUUUCUGUUUGUCCUGAGAUUAACACCUCAGAAAGAUAUAUGUGUUUUGUGUAGAAGACAGGAGGAUGUUUACCAAUGCUCUGUCUGUAGACAUGGUAAUGCAUGAAAUACCACAUUUUGUCAUGUCCACACUGCAGAUUUGUAAACAACUUUUAUAUUUCUCUCUUUUGUCUGUCUGUACUGAAAACUGCACUUGUCUUAAAGCCUACUGUAUAAUGACACAUUUUAUGGUCCAGUGAUCCAUUUGAGAGACUUGCUGUUCUGUACAUGACAUCAAUUCACCCUAAACAACAGAAAGCUACAUGGCAGCACAACAAGCUGACCUGAAAAGGAUUUAGCUGCCUUUGUUUUUGCCAGUCAAUGUGGAGAGCAAGCAAUUUUUAUGAAACAAUUUUGUAAACACGAGUGUGGAUAAGACACACUAUUUUCAGACUUAAUCUGCAUUAAUAUGAACAUAGGCGAGGACCGGAUGACAAACAAUACUGAUGGAGACAAGAGACCAAGUGUUGCAUGUUGGCUAAAACAACAAUGACAUCCACAAUGACAGAUUCUGACACAGAAAUCUGUAUUCAUGUUUUUGACUAUUCUCUCUCACUCUCUUUGUUUUUUUUUGUGAAAUAAUAGACUUCUAUUACAUCCCAAAAAUGCUGGGAACCACUGGUUUAAUCUUUAAUAUGAAAAGUAACUAGUUGCUAUGUUUGUGAGAUAAAUGUAGUGCAGUAAAAAGUACAAUAUUUCCCUCUAAAAGUAUUACUGUAAGUAUCAUCACUGUAAGUAAAGUACAAGAAAGAAAAGGAAGACAAAUUGCUCAGCUUUUUAGUGUGUAUAGUUAACAUUUAUUUUGAGGGGACAACCAGCCCUUGUAGGAAAGAACAACUUGGCCAGUGGCUUCCAGAUCAUUUGAGUUUGAUACCCCUAAUUUAGGAGCUUGUCUGUGUUUUAUUUUAACACAUUAUGCUGUUAUCACAAAAUCUCAUUAACAAAACGCAAAGAGAAUGUAUCAAGUGUGAGAGAACAAAUGCUGAAAAAAACAAGGAAGAAAGGCGUGUGUUUGUGUGUGCAUAUGUGUGUGUUGUGUUUGAAAAAGCGUGUGAACUAGGAAGAGAGGGACAAAGACUGAACAGGAAAGAGUGCGUGUGAAGAGAGAGCAAGGUGGAGUGAGUCAGGGAGAGAGAGAAAGAGAGGAGGGGAAAUAUAUUUGUCUGCCUAUAAAGCUCAGCAUGCUUCUCGUUUUGGAUUCUGGACCCUGUCGUGUAAAGUUUAGCAGAAGUGAAUCUUGACUGUAAGAAACGAUGACAAUACACCAAUAAAACAUCUCAAACCGA